rnacentral:lncRNA from 1 species
AUGGCUAACACUGGCGUGCAACUUUGCUGACCCAGACUGAAGUUUUCGUGUGACACAACACGAACGCAGCUGGCUUAAGCAGCGAGAUCGUCAGACUCAUCCAGCCACUUGGGACUUCCAUUGUAGCCUCCUCUACCAACUCCUCGCAAAUGGGAACCAGCUGGGAAGAUAUGGUUUGGAUGUCUGAACUAACUCAUGAAGGAAACUUCAUAUUAAAACCUGAACCUACUUUAUCAUAUUAAAACUUGAAAUGUCAGAUGAUUUUUAAAAUUCUAACUGCAGAACUGUGUUGCUAGACCACCACUCUACGGUUCCAUGGAGGAUGCUGUGUACAAAAUAUUAACUGAUGGAUGGUUUGAUGAAGAACAUUCCUAACAUUUGUGUGUUAUGAUGACUGCCAUGAAUUUCACAACUAGAACAGAAAGCUAUUGAAGAUAACUAAAAUUCAGCAUUACAUUUGGAAACAAAUAUUGUACCACUACACAAAUAACUGUAAAAAUACAGAUUCUUGUAAAUGCUUUGGAGUAUAUUGAAAAAUCACUAUCGUGCUAAGAACAAGGAAGGAGGCGAGCAGUCUGCUGUUUCCACCACUCCCCUCUGCCUUUACCAAACACAAAAUUAUGCUUUGGAUGCAUUUAUCCUCUGGGUGUUCACCUCUCCAAAAGUAAGUCUGAGAACAGGAUGUUACAGAGAACAGUAGUUUCUCAUCCUGUGAAAACCCUUAUGCUGCGUGAAAAUUCCUAGGUACUCUAAACCAACAAAAUAGUUGAUUUCUCUAUGUAAUGUAAGCUCAAUUUUUGGUAGAAGUAAAUCCACUCACCUAGAAAAUGCUGUGUAUUUUGUAAACCGUUAAAUAGUAUAUCAAGCAGCUUGUUUAAACACAGGAUGGCAGGGGUGGCAGGAAUGUAAUUUUCUAUUUAAUUCUAUUUGAUUAGGAGAGUUACACAGCCUGUCAUUUAGCUUCUAGGACAGCCAUAAAAUGUCUUUGCCUUCCACUGAUUUGCUUGCGAGGCCUACAGGCAUCAGGCUUGUUUCUGCUUAACAUUUGAGCUCAAGGUUGCCAAUUAAUAGGUAAUGAUAAGAACUGAUCCACUGCAUUUAAUAGAUGUGACAAAAUCAGGUAGAAGUACUAGGAAGAUAACUUGAUAUAUGGAGAAGUAAUCAUAUUUUAAUAUCUAGUAGCUGCAGAUGUUCAGAUUACUGUAAUGCUAUUAAAAUGAGUAUCUAUUAAUACACARAUAUUUCAGUGACACACAGAAACAAAGCCGAACAAAACCUGAAAUAAAAACAAAACUAAAUUUGCCUGUUUAUUGGAA